CAUCUCACCUGACUUCCUCUGACCAGGGAUCCCUCUGGUCCUAGGUCUGACACUGCCCUUCCCUCCCUCUGACUCCACCUCCCCUCUCCCUCUUCCUGCCUCUCCCCUUGCCCUCCUGCCUGGACCCUUAGGGAGCCGACGCCUCCCUGCCCUGGCACUUGUCCUAAAUGUGUGUCCAUCUCCACCCUCUCGCUCCACUCCUCCAUUCCCCUCUCCCUCCUUCUCUUUCGCAUUUUUCCUGUAUGGAAAUCCUCAUUCUGGCCCCUUGAACACAUGCAUGUUCUGCAUCCUCAGCACCUGGAGUAGGUCAGGAUACAGAACUUGUCUGUUAAACACCUGAUGUACACUUGUUUCCAGAAAGCAGCUUCAUCUGCGGUUCCUCCUUCCCUAGGAUCCCACAGUCUUUCUUACAACACGACGGUGCUAUCCUGGGAUGGCUUUGUGCAGUCCAGGUUUUUUGCUGAGGGACACUUGGAUGGUCAGGCCUUCCUGCACUUUGAUGACACGAAGUGGAGGGCAGAGCCACAGGGAUGGUGGGCUGAAAGGCUGGGAGCAGAGACGUGGGAGACAGAGUCCAAGGACUUGAACGAGACCUGUAAGGAGCUCAGAACACUUCUAGCAGAAAUCCUGUCCCUGCAGGAAGAGAAAAGAGGCUUACAUUCCCUCCAGGAGACUGUGGGCUGUGAGAUCCGUGAAGACAGCCGCGCCCGGGGCUUCCGGCUUCUCCACUUCGAUGGGGAGCUCCUCCUUUCCUGUUACCCGGAGGCCCACGGAUGUGCCCUGCCCCAGUCCUCUGCUUGGACCUUGGCCAUGGAAAUGGAGAAGUCCUGGGACACAGACGGCUUUCUAAGCAAGCAUUACCAGGCCCACGUGCAGGGAGAACUUUGUGGAAGACUGCGGGUCUACCUGGAAUCCUGGACGGGCUUCAUGGAGAGGACAGUGCCGCCAGCCGUGAAUGUGACCCGCAGCCAGGACUCAGAGGGCAUGGUCCACCUCACAUGCAGGGCUUUUGGCUUCUUUCCCCGGAAUAUCUCAGUGGCCUGGUUUUGGGACGAGGAACCCAUGAGCCGGGAUGCCCUGGAGUCUGGGGGUAUCCUGCCUGAUGGGAACGGGACCUACUAUACCUGGGAAACCAUAAUAAUUCCCCAAGGAGAGGAGCAGCGGGUCAAGUGCCUUGUGGAACACAGCGGGAAUCACAGUACACACCUCGCACCCUUGGGAAAGACCCUGGUGCACCAGAGAUCACGGUGGAUCAUUGUGAGCACUGCUCUUGUUGCUCUUGGUGCUCUUGCUGUUAUUGCUAUCAUCGGUUUUUGUAUCUUUUGUUGUACUAAGAGGAAGACAGUGUCAGCUACAGGGAGGCCAGAGCCUAUUAGCCUACAAGACCGGGAUCAGUUCCAGACGGAGCCAACUGAUCAUAAUGGCCUCACACACCCAGAAUUUCAAUCCUCGUGUCAGACUCAGCUCCUCAGUUUAACAGGGGAAGCUUAGAAUCUGCAGCCAGGAGGCCUGAAUUCAGUUCUGAGUUCUGGUCUUAAUAGCACUUUUUUUUUUUAAUGUGUGUUAUUAAUUUUAUUAUUUUAAAAUUAUUUUUAUUUUAUAUUUUAUUUUUAACUGGAGAAUACUUGCAUUAUAAUGUAUCGGUUUCUGCCAAACAGCACUGUGAAUCAGCCCUAAGUCUACAUGUAUCUCCUCCCUCUGGAACUUCCCUCCCACCCUCCCCAUCUCACCCCUCUAGGUCACUGAGCACCAGGCUGAGUACCCAGUCAGGUCCUGUUCCCUCCCUGCUGGUGCACACGAUGCACAGUAAGCUAAUGGGAAUAGAGAACUCAUUCCAUAUCUGUUUAUCCCAGUAGCUUUUUACACGCGGUGAUGUGUAUGUUUCAAUGCUACUCUCAAUUCAUCCCACCCUCUCCUUCCCUCACAAGUCCGUUCUCCACGUCUGGGUCUCUAUUCCUGCUCUGUAAAUAGUUCAUCAGUACCACUUUUCUAGAUUCCAUAUAGAUGCAUUUUUUGUUUUAUUAUUAUUAUUUUUGAAGGUAGUUGAUUUAUAGUAGAACACAUUCCUUCUUGAGGUCUCCAUUUUUUCAUCUAUGAAAUGAGAAAACUAGUGUUUAUUUUGUUAAGGUUGGGAUGAUUAAAACCGAUAAUAUAUUUGAUGUGGUUACUGUUGAAGAUGAGUGUCCUGAACCGAGACAGUAAAGGAGCCCAGAACGUGGAGGGCUGGGCAGCAUCUCCCUCCAUGAGCUCAGGCUGAUUUCCACAGGGCAGACGGGAGGUGAGACUUCUCCAUCGGACCUCAGUUGUUCCUGACUUCUGGUCCGGGGGCACACAGGUAAGCGGUGCUCUCCUUGGUCAGGACCACCUUAGCCUCACCCAGGUAAAGCAUUUGUGGCAGCGUGUUCUAAGGGGCACCUCCCACAGACCUGAGACAGAUGACAGGAGCACUUUCUGCAGCAGGACCGGACUGGAAGCAAGAGGGUGAUGAAGGGCUCUCCUAGUCAGGGCCUGUUCCCUCCCUGCCUGGUGCACACGAUGCACAGUACGGUAAUGGGAAUAGAGAACUCAUUCCAUAUCUGUUUAUCCAAAUGGGAUGAUAUAUUCUUUCAUGGUUUUAUUCAAGGUUAAUGUCAUUCACGCAGUUGUGCAUGCAUGUUUCCAUUCGAGUAUUCUUGCAUUUUAGUAAACUCUCAAGUGUCAUUUGUUGUACUCAGCUUUCAUUAAGCAUAAACUUUCAUCAUCACUCAUUUUCUUGUGUGAUUAUUUCAUCAAAGGCACCACUGGCUGUAAAUUAAGAAGUCAAAUAUCUGUGCAUGAUUUCUCA